rnacentral:hammerhead_ribozyme from 1 species
AUCUAGCUGACGAAUUUCAAAAAGGGCGAAAUGCACAUCCUGGAU